ensembl:snRNA U1 U1 spliceosomal RNA
AUUCUUUCUGAGUCAGAGAGAUGCCAUGAUCAAGAAGGGUUUUUCCACGGUGAAUCUCCUCCAUUGCAUUCUAGCUUUGCUUACCCCUGUGAUUUUUCUCAGAUGCAGGAAAUACAACUGCAUAACUUGUGGUAGUGGGAGACAAUGCUCACAAUUUCUCAUA